CAACUACUCCCUCUGUCCCAAAUUUCUUGUCUUAGAUUUUUCUAGAUACGGAUGUAUCUAAUACUAAAAUGUGACUUGAUACAUCCGUAUCUAGACAAAUCUAAGACAAGAAUUUUGGGACUGAGGGAGUACUUU
rnacentral:pre_miRNA from 1 species